UCAACCUAUCCAGGAUUCCACCAACAUGUACUGGGUUGGUCCUUGGAUAGUGUUUUAAGAAUUCUGAUUUAACAGGGCAUAUCCAGGCAGCAGGGUAUAUGGGUAGCUUAAGAAUCAUAUAGCUCUGGGUUCAAAUGCUGCCUCCCAUAUGUUGCCUGGGAAACCUUCCCAAAGUCUUUUUGCCUCCCUAAAUGCAUCUACUGAUCCACAAAUGGCAAGAAUAAAACUUGCCACACGGGGCUGACAUGAGUGAAGCAGGUGAUGCAGACAAGCAGAAUUAGCCUGAGCUACGUGAAGUAGCCUCAGUACAUAAGGGUCUGGGUCCUCUCUCCUUCCGGAGGAUACAGCAUCCAUCUGUGACAUGCUCAGAGAUGACCACAAGAACCCAGAAUCUGUCCUGACUGAUGGCAUGCCAGCUUCCUGUUGCCCCCUGCCCAGAACUCAGGACACCAAGGGCUCUACUCAGCAAGAAGCUGUUCAAAGGCCAGGUCAGAAGUGCUUGGCUAUCACAAUACACAUCCUCGGAAAGGUGAGAGGGGUUCUAAGAGAUAUGGACCACACUGCUGGUUUCAGGAGCAUUUGGGAGCCUGUGGAGGGAGGGACAUUCUGCAUGUCAUUUAUGUCAAGCCAUGCAUGGCGCUAAAGAGCUUUCAAUAAAUUAUCACAUCACCUGGAUGAGAAGCAACAUCAUCUUGGGUUUACAGGCAAGAUAGUUACGGCAGAUCAAGAACUAGCUUUUUGCACAGCUGAGCGUCUGUGGUGAUAUAUUGUGUACCCU